CCGCCUGCCUUGGCCUCCCGAAGUGCUGGGAUUACAGGCGUGAGCCACCGCGCCCGGCCCGGGUGGGUAUUUAUCCACCUAAACAUAUAAAAUAUAUUUUUAGGCUGGGUGUAGUGGCUCACACUUGUAAUCUCAGCAGUUCAGGAGGCAAAGGCGGGAGAAUGGCUUGAAUCCAAGAGUUCAAGACCAGCCAGGGCAACAUAAGGAGACUGCGUCUCUAUUUUCUUUCUUUCUGUUUUUUUUUUUUUUUUUUUUUUUUUGAGACACUGUCUCCCUCUGUCACCCAGGCUGGAGUGCAGUGGCAUGAUCUUGGCUCACUGCAACAUCUGCCUCCCAGGUUCAAGCAAUUCUCCUAUCUGAGCCUCCGUAGUAGCUGGGACCACAGGUGCACACCGCUACACCUGGCUAAUGUUUUGUAUUUGAGUAGACAUGCAGUUUCACUGUGUUGCCCAGGCUGGUUGCGAACUCCUGAGCUCAGGCAGUCUACCUGCCUUGGCCUCCCAAAGUGCUGGGAUUACAGGUGUGAGCCACUGCGCCUGUGUCUCUAUUAAAUUAAAUAUAUAUAGAUACAUAUAUAUAUAUAUUUAUUUAUUUUAAUUUUAUUUUAUUUUGAGAUGGAGUCUCGGCUCACUGCAACCUCUGCCUCCUGGGUUCAAGCUGAUUGUCCUGCCUCAGCCUCCCGUGUAGAUGGAAUUACAGGUGCGGGCUACCACACCUGGCUGAUUUUUGUAUUUUUAGUAGAGGUGGGGUUUCACCAUGUUGGUCAGGCUGGUCUCGAACUCCUGACCUCAGGUGAUCCACCCACCUUGGCCUCCCAAAGGGCUGGGGUUACAGGCGUGAGCCACCGCACCCAGCUUAUUUAUUUAUUUAUUUAUUUAUUUAUUUAUUUAUUUAUUUAUUUAUUUUAGAUACAGUCUAGCGCUGUGGCCCAGGCUGGAGUGCAGUGGUGCUAUCUUGGCUCACUGCAACCUCUGCCUCCCAGGUUCAAGCAAUUCUCCUGCCUCAGCCUCUCAAGUAGCUGGAAUUACAGGCACUUGCCACCAUGCCCAGCUAAUUUUUGUAUUUUUAGUAAAGAUGGGGUUUUGCCAUGUCAACCAGGCUGGUCUCAAACUCCUGACCUCAAGUAAUCUGCCCGCCUCGGCCUCCCAAAGUGCUGGGAUUACAGCCAGGAGCCACCACACCUAGCCUUAAAUACAUAUAUAUGUAUGUAUACAUAUAUAUACACACACAUAUAUAUACCCAGAAACCGCAAUAAAUAUAUGUAACACCAGAAUAUAUAAGUAUAUAGUAUAUUGAGAUAUGUAUAUAUACACACACACACACAUGCCCCCACAGGAAAUACAUAGUAUUAUGUGGCGUUUAUGUUUUUAUUGUCUUCCAGUACGUUGUUUUAGGAACUCUCCAUCUUAGGGCAUGUAAAUUCCUCUUUUUUUCCCCUUCCUUACUCAAUCUGCAUAUUCAGAGCUGUUCGGGGAGAAGUUAGAAACCAAGGGGACAUAUUCUGGGGUCUCUAGCAAGGAUAGAUUUGUACUGAUCCCUAACCUAGUUAACCUCCUGCCCCUUUUUUCUAACCUUAAAGUGAUUAAGGGUACCUAACUCCCAAGCUGGUUGUGUAGGUCGUCCGUGAGUUAAGGUAUAUACAUCACACGAAGAGGGUUUUUGUUUUGUUUUGUUUUGAGACAGAGUCUCGCUCUGUCACCCAGGCUGGAGUGCAGUGGCUCAAUCUCGGCUCACUGCAACCUCCGCCUCUCGGGUUCAAGUGAUUCUCCUGCCUCAGCCUCCUGAGUAGCUGGGACUACAGGCAUGAGCCACCACGCCCAGCUAAUUUUUGUAUUUUUAGUAGAGACAGGGUUUCACCAUGUUGACCAGGCUGGUCUUGAACUCUUGACCUCAGGAGAUCUGCCCACCUUGGCCUCCCAAAGUGCUGGGAUUACAGGUGUGAGCCACCACACCCAGCCCUGAAGAGGGUUUUGAUCUAUUGUAGGUUUCCAGUAACUUUUAGUCCUUGUUGGUAUCAAUAUUUUGUCUUGCUAACGCUGAUGUUUUCAUUUUUGCCCUAGGAGGCUUGACUCAACCUGCCGGACACUAAAGGACAUCACUCUGAGCCUGAGGGAGGGGCUCUCCUUUGGUCUCCCUCUUUUGUCCAGCCUUGCCCCAGGAUAUUUUUCUAAGCUGAGUUAGCCACUAGGCACUCCACAUCGCUGCCCGCAUCACCACGCUGCGGCAUCUGCUGUUGCAUCUGCGAUCCACAAGGCCUACACCAUUCGCCAUCGCACCUGGCUGUUUGUUGCAGAUAUUUCUCAGACCUCCUGCUUGAAGCCUGAAGUGUUCCAAGCAUAGAGAUGAUGGACGUGGUAUGGGACAAUCAGUGCACCCGCAGGAGGGGACGGCGGGAACCAAGAUUGGAAGGAACAUGUAGGUAUACUCACAGGUCCAGGGAGGGGUCUCACCAAAUGCCAUGAAGGGCCAUAGGGGAGUGCCAGGUUUGGUCAGGUGGCAGAAGCCUGAGCCAGAGCCUGCACUGGGGUUUCUUUUCUAUAUUUAUUUAUUUAUUUAUUUAUUUAUAUUUAUCUUUUUGAAAUGGAGUUUCACUUUGUUGCCCAGGCUGGAGUGAAGUGGUGCGAUCUCUGUUCACUGCAACCGCCACCUCCCAGGUUCACGCCAUUCUCCUGCCUCAGCCUCCCGAGUAGCUGGGACUACAGGCGCCCGACACCACGCCUGGCUAAUUUUUUUUUUUUUUGUAUUUUUAGUAGAGACAGGGUUUCACCAUGUUGGCCAGGUUCAUCUUGAACUCCUGAUCUUAGGUGAUACACCCACCUUGGCCUCCCAAAGUGCUGGGACUAAAGACAUCCUCCUGGUUGAGCUCUUUGGUGUCCUGAGGAUUGGCUACCCCUGGGAGGGGGAGUUUCUUUCAGGCCAGCAAGCUUUGUAAGAUGUCAAAGCAUCAUAAAUACAGAAAAUUUUAAAAACGUAAUACAUAUAGCUUCUGUUCCUUCCACCCAGAACACUCUUCUGACCCUGGACCCCGUCCCUGCUUCACCUGACUUUCUCUUUUUUUUUUUUUUGAGAUGGAGUCUCACCCUGUCUCCCAGGCUGGAGUGCAAGGGUGCGAUCUCGGCUCACUGCAACCUUCGCCUCCCGGGUUCAAACAAUUCUCCUUCCUCAGCCUCCUGAGUAGCUGGGAUUACAGGCAUGCACCACCACGCCUGGCUAAUUUUUUUGUAUUUAGUAGAGAUGGGGUUUCACCAUGUUGGUCAGGCUGUUCUCAAACUCCUGACCUCGUGAUCUGCCCACCUUGGCCUCCCAAAGUGCUGGGAUUACAGGUGUGAGCUACCGCGCCCAGCCUCUUCACCUGACUUUCUGAUACUCAUCCCUCAAGUGUCUGAUGAAAUAUGGCUUGCUGUGGCUGGGCGCAGGAGGCGCCAAUGUGGCUUGAACCCGGGAGGUGGAGGCUGCAGCGAGCCAAGAUCACCUCACUGCACUCCAGCCUGGGCGACAGAGCAAGACUCUGUCUCAAAAGAUAUAUAUAUAGGGCCAGGCGCAGUGGCUCACGCCUGUAAUCCCAGCACUUUGGGAGGUCAAGGUGGGCAGAUCACCUGAGAUCGGG
rnacentral:lncRNA from 1 species